rnacentral:misc_RNA from 1 species
GUGCUCGAGUAGUGGAGCUCGGCGAGGUGGAUUUUGGGGGUGGAGGAGGCGGCGGAGAUGGUUGAGCGGAGGUAUUGGAUGUUGGAGGGGGUGUUAACGAUGGUGGUGGUGAAAACAGAGGAUCUCCGAUGGAUUAAAUUGGCGAGUUCGAGGAAGGGGAUGAGAUGGCCGUGGGCCAUGAAAGGGAGCAUAAGGAUGUGGUGGUCGCUGGAGUUAGGUUCAGAGCCCAUUUUUUCCGGCGGACGGCGG